rnacentral:lncRNA from 1 species
GAGAAGCCCGCCGCUUGGUGUCACCGCCGUCCCGUUGAGGUCCCACAGGACCUCAUAUUAGAAGACAUUGAGGAUGAUGAGCUACCCCGUGAUGUGGAGAAGCCCGCCACUUGGUGUCACCGCCGUACGUAUUCUUUUUCUUUUAAAGAGUUACCGAGACGUAGUGCAUAUGCAAACAAAUUCACUUAUAUAAAGUAGGUGAUUCCGUGCUUUUACUCUAUUUAUAGGGUUGUGCGACCAUUGUUAGAGUCUAAUUUUAGAAGCUGUUUUUCCCCCUCAGAAAACCCGCUUAGUAGUGACUCCUCUGUUCUCCCUUACCCCCCACCCCCCACCCCCCUGGUCCUAGGCAGCCCUAAUCUACUUCCUGUUUCUGUAGUACACUUUCUUGCUGUAUUAACCGGUUCUUCAAAUGACAAUUUCACGUUGAUGCGGUUGUCCUGGCUAGGAAGCCAGGCUCUUUUAUUUCUUUCUGCCCCUCUCCUUUUUCUUCCUUCAGCACCCAGGAGAAUGGUCCAGCAGCAGCUGGGUCCGUGCUUGUCAAACGCCCCGCUCCAUACCCUCCAGCCCGGUCCACAUUUCCCAAAGCUCCUGGUGAGAUUCCUGAGCAGCACCAAUGCACUGUCACUCUGUGUUCUCUUAGGUCCCGUUGAGGUCCCGCAGGACCUCAUACUAGAAGACAUUGAGGAUGAUGAGCUAACCCGUGACGAGGAGAAGCCCGCCGCUUGGUGUCACCGCCGUACGUAUUCUUUUUCUUUUAAACAGUUACCCAGAGGUAGUGCAUAUGCAAACAAAUUCACUUAUUUAAAGUAG